GCACCCUCCUCUAAUUUCUUACUUGACAGUACUACUAGCUAUAAUCUACUAUAUACACUUGCUUUCACUCGCUUUUCUUUUCUUUUCAUCUUCUUUUUUCUUUUCUUUCAUUUUCUACCUUUUUGGCCUUUUUUUAUAUUGCGGCUUUUUCCAAAUGGGGAUGCUCACAACCUUAGUUGGACUCAGAAGUAAUCAGUCUCCGAACCACGCCUCAAGCCUCAUAAAGGUUGGGAAGAAGGAAAACCUUAACGGGUUGCACACUUGCACACGUGUUUAGGUUGUAACCAAAUCCCACGAUAUUUUUAUUCUAGCAACCUCAUUCGGACUCCUCCUGCCUGUUUUACCUUCAUAUCAACCUAGGAAAUUUCAAAGGGGAGAGCUA
rnacentral:lncRNA from 1 species